rnacentral:rRNA from 1 species
AGAUUAAGUUAUUAAGGGCGCACGGUGGAUGCCUUGGCACUAGAAGCCGAUGAAGGACGUUACUAACGACGAUAUGCUUUGGGGAGCUGUAAGUAAGCUUUGAUCCAGAGAUUUCCGAAUGGGGAAACCCAGCAUGAGUUAUGUCAUGUUAUCGAUAUGUGAAUACAUAGCAUAUCAGAAGGCACACCCGGAGAACUGAAACAUCUUAGUACCCGGAGGAAGAGAAAGAAAAUUCGAUUCCCUUAGUAGCGGCGAGCGAAACGGGAAGAGCCCAAACCAACAAGCUUGCUUGUUGGGGUUGUAGGACACUCUAUACGGAGUUACAAAGGACGACAUUAGACGAAUCAUCUGGAAAGAUGAAUCAAAGAAGGUAAUAAUCCUGUAGUCGAAAAUGUUGUCUCUCUUGAGUGGAUCCUGAGUACGACGGAGCACGUGAAAUUCCGUCGGAAUCUGGGAGGACCAUCUCCUAAGGCUAAAUACUCUCUAGUGACCGAUAGUGAACCAGUACCGUGAGGGAAAGGUGAAAAGCACCCCGGAAGGGGAGUGAAAUAGAACCUGAAACCGUGUGCUUACAAGUAGUCAGAGCCCGUUAAUGGGUGAUGGCGUGCCUUUUGUAGAAUGAACCGGCGAGUUACGAUUUGAUGCAAGGUUAAGCAGUAAAUGUGGAGCCGUAGCGAAAGCGAGUCUGAAUAGGGCGUUUAGUAUUUGGUCGUAGACCCGAAACCAGGUGAUCUACCCUUGGUCAGGUUGAAGUUCAGGUAACACUGAAUGGAGGACCGAACCGACUUACGUUGAAAAGUGAGCGGAUGAACUGAGGGUAGCGGAGAAAUUCCAAUCGAACCUGGAGAUAGCUGGUUCUCUCCGAAAUAGCUUUAGGGCUAGCCUCAAGUGAUGAUUAUUGGAGGUAGAGCACUGUUUGGACGAGGGGCCCCUCUCGGGUUACCGAAUUCAGACAAACUCCGAAUGCCAAUUAAUUUAACUUGGGAGUCAGAACAUGGGUGAUAAGGUCCGUGUUCGAAAGGGAAACAGCCCAGACCACCAGCUAAGGUCCCAAAAUAUAUGUUAAGUGGAAAAGGAUGUGGCGUUGCCCAGACAACUAGGAUGUUGGCUUAGAAGCAGCCAUCAUUUAAAGAGUGCGUAAUAGCUCACUAGUCGAGUGACACUGCGCCGAAAAUGUACCGGGGCUAAACAUAUUACCGAAGCUGUGGAUUGUCCUUUGGACAAUGGUAGGAGAGCGUUCUAAGGGCGUUGAAGCAUGAUCGUAAGGACAUGUGGAGCGCUUAGAAGUGAGAAUGCCGGUGUGAGUAGCGAAAGACGGGUGAGAAUCCCGUCCACCGAUUGACUAAGGUUUCCAGAGGAAGGCUCGUCCGCUCUGGGUUAGUCGGGUCCUAAGCUGAGGCCGACAGGCGUAGGCGAUGGAUAACAGGUUGAUAUUCCUGUACCACCUAUAAUCGUUUUAAUCGAUGGGGGGACGCAGUAGGAUAGGCGAAGCGUGCGAUUGGAUUGCACGUCUAAGCAGUAAGGCUGAGUAUUAGGCAAAUCCGGUACUCGUU